rnacentral:ncRNA from 2 species
CGUCUCCACCAGGGGUGUUCCGACAAGGAGCUGAGAUACUGCUAGGCCGCGAGGCAGCGCAGGGACCCUAUGAACCUGAUCCAGUUCACACUGGCGUAGGGACGGUGCGGGUGCUCUGGU